GAAAUGCAGUGCGUGUGAGGGGUGCAAUGUGUGUGAGAAGUGCAGUGUGUGGGAAUGGUUCCAUGUGUGUGAGAUGUGCAGUGUAUGAGAGAAUAAAUGUGUGACACAGAGGUGCAGUGUGUGAGAGGUUCCAUGUAUAUGUGAGAGGUAAAGUGUGUGUGUGAGAGGGGUGCAGUGUGUGUGAUGGAUAGUCUGGCCAGAGUGAUAUUUCUAUCUCCC